CUCGAAUAGGAUAAGCAAGUUAUGCAACUACUUUAAGGAAGAAAACAACAAUGGCAUUGGAAGUACGAGCUGGUGAUUGAAGACAUAAAGAAUCCAAGGCACCCUGUUCAAAUGAUGAUACAUUCACAACAUCAUUCACUUCCGAUGAAGGAAACAAAGCAGUUGGCCACUGUAGUCUCUAAGAGCUAGUUUAUGGAAAAUUGUUUUUGAAAAGUUUGGUAAUAACUGUCAAAAAAGGUUUUUGAAAAAAAUACAAUCGACGUUGAAAAGAAAUUUAGAAACCAUUCUAUCAAAUACAAUAAUGGUUAAAAUACAAACCAUUCACAAGUUUAGGCACUCUUAGAAAUAAAUUAUCAUCACAAGACAAUAUACAAACUUAAUAUAGAGCAUUUGUGCUUUGGUUAGGUUCUAACCAUACAAAUAUUAACCCAAUUUCAUAAUUGGCACUGUACAUAAUCAAAGUAAAAAAAAUAAAAAUCGGAACAACGAAAUUUUCCAAGAAAAAUAAUAUUUGUUUUAGAAGAGAGAAGAAAACCCAAGUUCUAAAUGAGUAAUGUUGCAUCAGAACUUUAAAAAUAAGUUGAAAGAGAGUGAGACUCUUUUUUUUCUCCUCAAAAUUACCAUAUUAUAAUUUGGAAAUCAAACUGGCAAGGACCAUGAAUCUUUGCUUCAAAAAUCUAGACACAAAAUGGAUAAAACAAAAGGAACGAAAAUCGCAGCACAGAUAACUUAAAUUGUCUAGCUUACUUAUUGACAUAGAUCUUCAAGGCUUGUCUGUUCCUCUUCUUGACACCAGACUUGGCAACUUUCAGACUCCUAUGCACAACACUCAGCCUUGCAAGGGCUGCUUUGGUUAGAUGGGAGGAGGCUGACGAGAGACGAGAGGGUCUGAGUUAGAGUGACUUGAUACACUCUGAAAGAUGGGCAGAUUGAGUAAGCUGGAGGCGCAACGGCCAACAGACGAUUUUUUUAGAGUUCAGAAAAGGGAGAAACGAGAAAGAAAUCGAUGGAGGCAGGUUAGUAAGAGGGGUUUUGAGUAUGUG
rnacentral:lncRNA from 1 species